UAAUACGUAGGGUGCAAGCGUUGUCCGGAUUUAUUGGGCGUAAAGAGCUCGUAGGCGGUUUGUCACGUCGGCUGUGAAAAUCCGGGGCUCAACCCCGGACCUGCAGUCGAUACGGGCAGACUAGAGUUCGGCAGGGGAGACUGGAAUUCCUGGUGUAGCGGUGAAAUGCGCAGAUAUCAGGAGGAACACCGGUGGCGAAGGCGGGUCUCUGGGCCGAAACUGACGCUGAGGAGCGAAAGCGUGGGGAGCAAACAGGAUUAGAUACCCUGGUAGUCCACGCCGUAAACGUUGGGCGCUAGGUGUGGGGAACCUUCCACGUUCUCCGUGCCGUAGCUAACGCAUUAAGCGCCCCGCCUGGGGAGUACGGCCGCAAGGCUA
rnacentral:rRNA from 1 species